AAUGAACGCUGGCGGCGCGCCUAAUACAUGCAAGUCGAGCGAGAAGACGUAGCAAUACGUUUGUAAAGCGGCGAACGGGUGAGGAAUACAUGGGGUAACCUACCCUCGAGUGGGGAAUAACUAGCCGAAAGGUUAGCUAAUACCGCGUACGCUCCUUGGACUUUGGUUCAGGGAGGAAAGCGAUACCGUGGGUAUCGCGCUCUUGGUUGGGCUCAUGUCCUAUCAGCUUGUUGGUGAGGAACGGCUCACCAAGGCUUCGACGGGUAGCUGGUCUGAGAGGACGAUCAGCCACACUGGCACUGCGACACGGGCCAGACUCCUACGGGAGCAGCAGUAAGGAAUAUUGCGCAAUGGGCGAAAGCCUGACGCAGCGACGCCGCGUGGGGGAGUGAAGGGUCUUC
rnacentral:rRNA from 1 species